rnacentral:rRNA from 1 species
AUACUUAGUGGCAGACGGGUGAGUAACAUGUGCGUAUCUGCCCUUUGGCCUGGAAUAACACGAGGAAACUUGUGCUAAUACCGGAUAAGUCUUUACGGAGAAAGCUUUAUGCACCAUUGGAUGAGCCCGCACUUGAUUAGUUAGUUGGUAGGGUAAUGGCCUACCAAGACUAUGAUCAAUAGCUGAUUUGAGAGGAUGAUCAGCCACAUUGGGACUGAGACACGGCCCAAACUCCUACGGGAGGCAGCAGUGGGGAAUCUUGCACAAUGGAGGAAACUCUGAUGCAGCGAUGCCGCGUGAGUGAAGAAGGCCUUUGGGUUGUAAAGCUCUUUCGUCGGGGAAGAAAAUGACUGUACCCGAAUAAGAAGGUCCGGCUAACUUCGUGCCAGCAGCCGCGGUAAUACGAAGGGACCUAGCGUAGUUCGGAAUUACUGGGCUUAAAGAGUUCGUAGGUGGUUGAAAAAGUUGGUGGUGAAAUCCCAGAGCUUAACUCUGGAACUGCCAUCAAAACUUUUCAGCUAGAGUAUGAUAGAGGAAAGCAGAAUUUCUAGUGUAGAGGUGAAAUUCGUAGAUAUUAGAAAGAAUACCGAUUGCGAAGGCAGCUUUCUGGAUCAUUACUGACACUGAGGAACGAAAGCAUGGGUAGCGAAGAGGAUUAGAUACCCUCGUAGUCCAUGCCGUAAACGAUGUGUGUUAGACGUUGGAAAUUUAUUUUCAGUGUCGCAGCGAAAGCGAUAAACACACCGCCUGGGGAGUACGACCGCAAGGUUAAAACUCAAAUGAAUUGACGGGGACCCGCACAAGUAGUGGAG